rfam:Picea glauca, whole genome shotgun sequence.
GAUGGUUUGCCUGAGUGGUUGAGGGGGAAGACUUAAGAUCUUCUACACAUAAGUGCGCAUGGGUUCGAACCCCACAACCAACA